AGUAGGUUAAAGGAAAAGAAGGCUCCAAGAUCUCAGAUAGGCAGAAAACUUAUUCUCCUUCUUAAACUCUUUCAAACAGAAUGUUGUUUUUUUUUUUUUUUUUUUAAACCAAGUCUCUUACAGGGCUAGUUAGCUUUUAAAAAUAUGGCUGUAUCACCUUUUUUUUUUAUUUUUAAAUUUCUUUCUUUCUUUUUCUUUUUUCUUUUUUAAUCAGCAUCUAAAUCUGUAUGUGCACUUGAAUUUGCUUCUUGUUGAAACUAAACUUCUUGACCAGUCCACCUUGAAAUCUCCAACAAGACUCAAGGCCAAAGGUGGCUUUCCUAAGUGUAUUAAUAUUUGUUAUCUUGUGGGAACCAACGGCGAGUGGUUUAGGAGAGGAGCUAGUGGGAUAUCACCUGAUAUUUCUCAGAUGGAGCUCAAUGAAUAAGCUUUCUUCUGCUACCUUCUCCUGCCAAGCAUGUGUCUGAACCCUGCAGCGUGCUGGAUGCCCCCACCUCCCCAGAACCAGCAUGGUGGGGAUGUUCUAGCUGUUGGUCUCCAGCCUCAGCUGAAAGAUAUGAAUGCCAACUCUGACUGUGGAGUUAGACGUCUGGAUGCAGAGUUGGGAUGGAGACCUUCCUGCUCAGGCAUGGGGCUCACCUAAGGGCAGAAGGAAUGUCAGCUGCGUGGACUUGUGGGUCAGUAGUUUUCCCAUUUAGAGCUGAAUGGAAGAGGAAAGCCUUUGAGCAGGAAUUGCUUCGUGUGAGAACUGAUAAGAGCUUCCAGGAAUGGGAGAAAGAAUUGAAAAAGAUGUAAUGGAAAGGCCUCUAGGAUUUUGUGAUCUUUUGAAAACCUGGUGACCUACUGUAAAGUGGCAUUUUUUUUAGGAGGAAGAAUAUUUGUUUGAUUUUUGAAAGCACUUAACAAAAAUGGGAACACUCUAAACCAUAUUUUUUAUCCUCCUAAUGAUAUUUGCAUGAUUCAGUAGAGUUUAUUUAUCCCUCUGCACUCUAUGCCUCAGUUUACAACUCUAAAUGUAUAAUUAUUUACAUACACAAUCUUCCAGUUAAAAAAUUUUUGUUUGAAAUAUAGUUGACCUUUUUAAAAAUGUGAGAUAGUAAAUGGAGGAACUUGCUUGCUUUGUUUUCUGAUUCCAGGACACUUAGAAUAUGCUUUAGUGCUAUUUCUGUACUCUGCCUCAUGAAGUCUGGAAGUGAUCUUAAAAUGAAAGUUGGAAUGCUAACACAUGGAAAAAGUAAUACUGUGGCACUCCAAUAAAAUUAAAAAAAUUUAUGU
rnacentral:lncRNA from 1 species